rnacentral:lncRNA from 1 species
CUCUUGUCAUGCUUGUAGAAGCUACAUUUUUGUGUACAUGUAUAGUCAUUUUGACCAAUAUCAAUUCAGUAAGUUGAAUUUCUUAACACCUUACAAGUGUCUUGGUAUUACAUAUAUACAUGUGUUUGUUAUUGUGUAUAUUCCGUAUAUUGUGUUGAUGAUUUUUUGGUAAGAAAGGCUUUCAUCCUGAACUCCACUCUUAAUGUGGGCCGGUUAAGAGAUCUCCAUGUGUGGUCAAAUUAUAUUCUCUAUUGAUAAAAAUUAAGAGAUAUGGUAUGAUUGCCAAUGAGACAACUGUAUAUCCACUAAAGUUCAAAUGAGGUGGACUACAUGUACGUUCAUUUUACUUUUACAUGUAUUAGCAAUUACUCCUUUGAGUCAAAUGAGUUUUCAACAUGUUCAAUGUGUUUAUCUGUUUUUAUUAUCUUUGAUCCAGUGAGACAACAAUCCACCAGAGACCAAAAAACAAGGUUGUGAACAAU